rnacentral:rRNA from 1 species
CACGGUAGGGGGCGAGCGUUGUCCGGAAUCAUUGGGCGUAAAGAGCUCGUAGGCGGCUCAGUAAGUCGGGUGUGAAACCCUCAGGCUCAACCUGGAGACGCCACUUGAUACUGCUGUGACUGGAGUCCGGUAGGGGAGGCGAUGGAAUUCCUGGUGUAGCGGUGAAAUGCGCAGAUAUCAGGAGGAACACCAGCGGCGAAGGCGGCGCUCGUGGGCCGGUACUGACACUGAGGAGCGAAAGCGUGGGUAGCAAACAGG